GAGAGAGAGAGAGAGAGAGAGAGAGAGAGAACUCAAGCGCACUGUGACAACCAUAAACACAUUGUUCUUGCUAUUGAAUGAAGGAGUCAAAGUGGAAGUUUAGAAGGAUCAAUGCUCCCAAAGGAUGGCCUCAAAUCCUUGAACUGAAGAAAGAACAGAAGUGUUUACUGUAAGGUCGCUGUUGUGAAAUGUCUUGUGGCUGGGAGCCUUCACGAGGGACCUUCUCAUGGAGAUGCCAUGUAAGGCAGAGAAAAGGGACAGCGUUGUUCUGAGACUUUCCACUACUGUUUUAUGUGAGGGACAGACUACUGAUGGCAUUGAGAAUCAACACUAUAAAGAAGGUUGCAGACUAUUACUGUGGGAAAAAUGAACCAAACAAGCUUGCUUAUCUAUGUAAGUUAGGAUUGUUCAUGGCUAAUAUUGUCUAGAAAUGGUGCUAGCAGACCCUGUGUGCACCCCAAAGGCUAUGCCAAAUACCCAUGACACCAAGCUUACUUCAGAAUCAUUGAAUGGGAAGAAGAUGAAGAAUAUCCAUACUCAUUCUCUGGACUCUCUGUCAAUAAGGUUGGUGAACCAGCACACCAGGCUAUAUGCUAUAUCCUAGCUAGACAAACCUUAAUGGCAUAAUGGAGAUUCAAUGCAUCCUCCCUGCCAAAAGCAUGCUUAUUAGUAAAAUAUGUAGGAAUCCCAACUGAUAAUGCAAACUCAUUGGAGCAAGUGGUUUCUCAAUUGAUCAAAUAUUUAGCAACCUCAAAAUACGUAAUCCAUAAUACAAAUUAUGGUGACGUGCCAUAACCAAGCUUUUAGAGGUCUAAAAAUACCGCAUAGAACUUAGUGAAAAUGCUUUACACACAAAAGAGCAGAAUGAACCGGUUUCCAUCUGCACAGCACCGCCAAGCUCACCUGUCUUCUAGACACAGGGUGAGGACUGGGGACAGCUACAAAGAACGGGACAGUUACUGCCUGAAGACCAGUGUGAAGAAUAGAACUAAACUCAAUUCUGCUUAGCCACUCGGGUCUGGUCAUGUGUGUCUCUAGCUCCAGCUUUUGGGAAGUGGAAGCAAGAGGAUCGUAAGUCCAAGGCGAGGGGAAGCUAGGCACAAGGUGACAGUCUCACUCAGGCUCAAAGAGGAUGAGAACAAGUGGGAGCAGACACCCACCUUUUCCAUUUAGGUUUGCCCUCUUCCUGUCCCCAUUUUGAAGGAACUAUCUCUCCUUCUAUUUUCAACCUAUGUGAUUCAGAUGAACACCACUUAGGGUUCAAAAGCAAGCAGAGGCACAAGUCUGGCUACCUCAUGUCUUUGGUCAUGGCUAGUGACAAAGGACAGACACGUGGCAUAAGCCAGCCAACACAAAUGAUCAUACUCAGCCUCAGAAUCCUUGUAACACUACCGGGGACAUUUUUAAAAAUUAGGAUACUAGCCCUAAGGACAACAUGAGCAGAGACCUGAAUUCUUUUACUAAGGACAAACAACUGCAAAGAUGGAUUCCCCCACAACAGGACAGAGCAUCUAACAGACAUGACUGAAGCCUCUCUCCCCAUGUCACAAGGCAACCUUCUAACUUCAUCUUUUUAACAAGCUUAAACCAUGUGCUUUACCCAACUCUAAAACUCCAGCUCCUCCCCUCAAAUGCACCCAAAAUAUUAACCUUAAAAGAGUCAUAUACUCUGUAUAUUUAUUUUG
rnacentral:lncRNA from 1 species